UACAGGGGGUGCAAACGUUGCUCGGAAUUAUUGGGCGUAAAGAGCUCGUAGGCGGUUCGUCGCGUCGGCUGUGAAAACCCGGAGCUCAACUCCGGGCCUGCAGUCGAUACGGGCGGACUUGAGUGUUGCAGGGGAGACUGGAAUUCCUGGUGUAGCGGUGAAAUGCGCAGAUAUCAGGAGGAACACCGGUGGCGAAGGCGGGUCUCUGGGCAACUACUGACGCUGAGGAGCGAAAGCGUGGGGAGCGAACAGG
rnacentral:rRNA from 1 species